rnacentral:rRNA from 1 species
AGGAUGUUUAGUGGCGGACGGGUGAGUAACGCGUGAGUAACCUGCCUUGGAGUGGGGAAUAACACAGUGAAAACUGUGCUAAUACCGCAUAAUGCAUUUGGGUCGCAUGAUUCUGAAUGCCAAAGAUUUAUCGCUCUGAGAUGGACUCGCGUCUGAUUAGCUAGUUGGUGUGGUAACGGCAUACCAAGGCAACGAUCAGUAGCCGGGCUGAGAGGCUCUUCGGCCACAUUGGGACUGAGAUACGGCCCAAACUCC